GACGAACCGUCCAAACGUUAUUCGGAAUCACUGGGCUUACAGAGUUCGUAGGCGGUCUGGAAAGUUGGGUGUGAAAUCCCUCGGCUCAACCGAGGAACUGCGCUUGAAACUACCAGACUCGAGGGAGAUAGAGGAAAGCGGAACUGAUGGUGGAGCGGUGAAAUGCGUUGAUAUCGUAAGGAAGACCAGUGGCGAAGGCGGGUCUCUGGACAGUUCCUGACGCUGAGGCACGAAGGCCAGGGGAGCAAACGGG
rnacentral:rRNA from 1 species